ensembl:lncRNA
GGAAAGUACUGCAAUGAUAACAGGGUAGCAAAGUCUUCAGCUGCAACAAAUGAGAACAAGCCCAAGUGCAGGAGCUACAGAAAUAAAAGAAAAGAGCUGCUUACCUUUGGAAGGCCUCAGGCAUCCAAGCAGUUGCAGGGCAGAGCCCACUGCCUUCCACCUGUGAGAUAAUGGGCAAUGCAGCACAGAGUGCAGCCUUCUUUUCUUCCAAGAACAAUGCCAGCAUGCCAUCUUGUCCGUCCUCUCAGCUGCCCACGGAGUCUUGAGCCCUCUUGUGUCACAGGGGAAGCCACCACGUGACCCACAGGAAGUCCCCGAUGGAGCCAACACAGGUCUUGAAGUGCUCCUGUCUUCCUGUUCCAUCACCAGCACUGGAGAACCCCACCAUCCCCCCGCUCCUAGGACAUGCCAGAAGCAGUUAUGAAUGGGAUGCAUGCCCUUGUCCCCACAGGGACUCAGUCAGACCUGCUGACCUGCUGCAAGCCCCUAGACAGCUGCCUCCAUUGGAGGAAGGACGCUUGGUGGCAGAGCUUACACCCAGCCCAGGGUCACACCUCUCUGCAGUGUUCCUGGGGAUGUACAUAGCCUCCCGUGCACAAAUGGCUGUCCCUGAUUUGAUGUGACCGCACCAGGCUGUGAGUAGCCAUCAGAAGAGCCCAGAAUCCCCUGUGGUGCGCUAGGGGGUGGCAGGUUGUCAAACAAACUGGCACAUGUCUUACUCCAAAGGGGUGACUGCUGCAAAACACAUAUCUAUCACAGCUAUCAAUUGGGAUGCUGAGUGUACUGGGGCUAUUCAGCUCCCGGCUGGAAACCACCAGCUGCCAGUUAUUACC